rnacentral:rRNA from 1 species
AGCGAACGUUUGCGGCGGGCCUAACACAUGCAAGUCGAACGGGCUGUUCUUCGGAGCAGUCAGUGGCGCACGGGUGCGUAACACGUAGGUAAUCAACCCUUGGGUUCGGGAUAACACUGCGAAAGAGGUGCUAAUACCGGAUGCGACGGGCGGGACUUUGGUCCUGUUCGGGAAAGAUCCGCAAGGAUUGCCCGAGGACGAGCCUGCGGCCCAUCAGCUUGUUGGUGAGGUAAAAGCUCACCAAGGCUAAGACGGGUAGCUGGUCUGAGAGGAUGAUCAGCCACACUGGAACUGAGACACGGUCCAGACUCCUACGGGAGGCAGCAGUGGGGAAUAUUGCGCAAUGGGCGAAAGCCUGACGCAGCCACGCCGCGUGAGCGAUGAAGGCCUCGGGUCGUAAGACUCUGUGGGAGGAGAAGAAUAAAGACAGGUGAAGAGCCUGCCCUGACGGUAUCUCCUUAGCAAGCACCGGCUAACUCCGU